rnacentral:rRNA from 1 species
UAGGGAAUCUUCCGCAAUGGACGAAAGUCUGACGGAGCAACGCCGCGUGAGUGAAGAAGGCUUUCGGUUCGUAAAACUCUGUUGUUAGGGAAGAAAAAAUGUAUAGUAACUAUAUACAAAAGAGACGGUACCUAACCAGAAAGCCACGGCUAACUACGUGCCAGCAGCCGCGGUAAUACGUAGGUGGCAAGCGUUGUCCGGAAUUAUUGGGCGUAAAGCGCGCGCAGGUGGUUUAGAAAGUCUGAUGUGAAAGCCCACGGCUCAACCGUGGAGGGUCAUUGGAAACUAAGAAACUUGAGUGCAGGAGAGAAAAGUGGAAUUCCUAGUGUAGCGGUGAAAUGCGUAGAGAUUAGGAGGAACACCGGUGGCGAAAGCGGCUUUUUGGCCUGCAACUGACACUGAGGCGCGAAAGCGUGGGGAGCAAACAGG